AUAAGAUAGUGAAUCUUAUUUAGGAAAGUAAAAAUUCGACAAAUGUAAAAUCUGGUAGAAUUAUUCUUAUUGGAUGGUUCUAGGAAUGGUUGAUGAUCUGGUAUGAACAUUACUUUAAUUGUAAAAUUACAAAAUAAUAGGAUAUAUUGCCUAUGAGGAUUGUAGCCAGCAGUGAAAGGGUAAAUUCAGUGUGGUCUAACUGUCAGC